rnacentral:rRNA from 1 species
GGGGAAUAUUGGACAAUGGGGGAAACCCUGAUCCAGCAAUGCCGCGUGAGUGAAGAAGGCCUUAGGGUUGUAAAGCUCUUUCGCCCGCGAAGAUAAUGACGGUAGCGGGAGAAGAGGCCCCGGCUAACUCCGUGCCAGCAGCCGCGGUAAUACGGAGGGGGCUAGCGUUGUUCGGAAUUACUGGGCGUAAAGCGUACGUAGGCGGAUGCGCAAGUUGGGGGUGAAAUCCCGGGGCUUAACCUCGGAAUUGCCCUCAAAACUGCACGUCUUGAGACCGAGAGAGGUAAGGGGGAUUCCUAGUGUAGAGGUGAAAUUCGUAGAUAUUAGGAAGAACACCAGUGGCGAAGGCGCCUUACUGACUCGGUACUGACGCUGAGGUACGAAAGCGUGGGGAGCAAACA